rnacentral:tRNA from 1 species
AGAAUAUUUGCGUAUAUAAAGAAGCUUCUAACUUCCAAUUAAAGCGGUUAAACUCCGUUUAUAUUCUA